GAGAGGAGGAGAGGAGAGGAGAGGAGAGGAGAGUGUUUUUAUACUUUCAAAGAUUUCUGUUUCCUUCCUUCCUUCCUUCCUUCCUUCCUUCCUUCCUUCCUUCCUCUUCCUUCCUUCCUUCCUUCCUUCCUUCCUUUCUUCCUUUCUUCCUUUCUUCCUUUCUUCCUUCCUUCCUUCCUUCCUUCCUGACUCUAAGGCCAUUUCUGGUUUGGGGAAAAAAUCCUUCCUCUCUUAGUAGGCAAACGGAAGACGGUCCUCCCCUCCUCGAUAGCCUCCUUUAAGGCGAGGAAUCACACGUGUAUCCUACCACAGAAGACAGUCCUCCAUAGCCUCACACGUCUCUAUUGUCUCAAGGCUUAAAAAUCAUUCUUUAACCCGUCUCCUCCCCUUUCAUCUACACUGAUUAAAGUGGAUUAAACAAGUGACAUCAAUAAGGGAUCAUAUCUUUCACCUGGUCAGUCUACAUCAUGGAAAGAGCAGGUGUUCCUAAUAUUUUGUCCAUUCAUCGUAUAUCUAUAUGUAACAUUUGACAUGUAUUUAUCAGCGAUCUGUUCGUUUUAUAAUGUCUAUUGUUGUUGUUGUUGUUGUUGUUUAUUUGUUUGUGUCCCAAAUGGCACCUUAUUUCCCAUAGGGCUCUAAAGUAGUGCACUAGAUAGGGAAUAGGGCUGUGGUCUAAAGUAGUGCACUAUAUAGGGAAUAGGGCUCUGGUCUAUAGUAGUGCACUAGAUAGGGAAUAGGGCUCUGGUCUAAAGUAGUGCACUAUAUAGGGAAUAGGGCUCUGGUCUAAAGUAGUGCACUAGAUAGGGAAUAGGGCUCUAAAGUAGUGCACUAGAUAGGGAAUAGGGCUCUAAAGUAGUGCACUAGAUAGGGAAUAGGGCUCUGGUCUAAAGUAGUGCACUAUAUAGGGAAUAGGGCCCUGGUCUAAAGUAGUGCACUAUAUAGGGAAUAGGGCUCUGGUCUAAAGUAGUGCACUAGAUAGGGAAUAGGGCUCUGGUCUAUAGUAGUGCACUAUAUAGGGAAUAGGGCUCUGGUCUAUAGUAGUGCACUAUAUAGGGAAUAGGGCUCCAAAGUAGUGCACUAGAUAGGGAAUAGGGCUCUAAAGUAGUGCACUAGAUAGGGAAUAGGGCUCUAAAGUAGUGCACUAGAUAGGGAAUAGGGCUCUGGUCUAAAGUAGUGCACUAUAUAGGGAAUAGGGCUCUGGUCUAUAGUAGUGCACUAGAUAGGGAAUAGGGCUCUGGUCUAAAGUAGUGCACUAUAUAGGGAAUAGGGCUCUGGUCUAAAGUAGUGCACUAGAUAGGGAAUAGGGCUCUAAAGUAGUGCACUAGAUAGGGAAUAGGGCUCUAAAGUAGUGCACUAGAUAGGGAAUAGGGCUCUGGUCUAAAGUAGUGCACUAUAUAGGGAAUAGGGCCCUGGUCUAAAGUAGUGCACUAUAUAGGGAAUAGGGCUCUGGUCUAAAGUAGUGCACUAGAUAGGGAAUAGGGCUCUGGUCUAUAGUAGUGCACUAUAUAGGGAAUAGGGCUCUGGUCUAUAGUAGUGCACUAUAUAGGGAAUAGGGCUCCAAAGUAGUGCACUAGAUAGGGAAUAGGGCUCUAAAGUAGUGCACUAUAUAGGGAAUAGGGCUCUGGUCUAUAGUAGUGCACUAUAUAGGGAAUAGGGCUCUAAAGUAGUGCACUAUAUAGGGAAUAGGGCUCUGAUCUAAAGUAGUGUACUAUAUAGGGAAUAGGGCUCUAAAGUAGUGCACUAGAUAGGGAAUAGGGCUCUAAAGUAGUGCACUAGAUAGGGAAUAGGGCUCUAAAGUAGUGCACUAGAUAGGGAAUAGGGCUCUAAAGUAGUGCACUAGAUAGGGAAUAGGGCUCUAAAGUAGUGCACUAGAUAGGGAAUAGGGCUCUAAAGUAGUGCACUAUAUAGGGAAUAGGGCUCUGGUCUAAAGUAGUGCACUAGAUAGGGAAUAGGGCUCUAAAGUAGUGCAAUAGAUAGGGAAUAGGGCUCUAAAGUAGUGCACUAGAUAGGGAAUAGGGCUCUGGUCUAUAGUAGUGUUCUAUAUAGGGAAUAGGGCUCUGGUCUAAAGUAGUGCACUAGAUAGGGAAUAGAGCUCUGAUCUAAAGUAGUGCACUAGAUAGGGAAUAGGGCUCUAAAGUAGUGCACUAGAUAGGGAAUAGGGCUCUAAAGUAAUGCACUAUAUAGGGAAUAGGGCUCUAAAGUAGUGCACUAUAUAGGGAAUAGGGCUCUAAAGUAGUGUACUAUAUAGGGAAUAGGGCUCUAAAGUAGUGUACUAUAUAGGGAAUAGGGCUCUAAAGUAGUGUACUAUAUAGGGAAUAGGGCUCUAAAGUAGUGCACUAGAUAGGGAAUAGGGCUCUAAAGUAGUGUACUAUAUAGGGAAUAGGGCUCUAAAGUAGUGCACUAGAUAGGGAAUAGGGCUCUGGUCUAAAGUAGUGCACUAGAUAGGGAAUAGGGCUCUAAAGUAGUGCACUAGAUAGGGAAUAGGGCUCUAAAGUAGUGCACUAUAUAGGGAAUAGGGCUCUAAAGUAAUGCACUAUAUAGGGAAUAGGGCUCUAAAGUAGUGCACUAUAUAGGGAAUAGGGCUCUAAAGUAGUGUACUAUAUAGGGAAUAGGGCUCUAAAGUAGUGUACUAUAUAGGGAAUAGGGCUCUAAAGUAGUGUACUAUAUAGGGAAUAGGGCUCUAAAGUAGUGCACUAGAUAGGGAAUAGGGCUCUAAAGUAGUGCACUAGAUAGGGAAUAGGGCUCUGGUCUAAAGUAGUGCACUAGAUAGGGAAUAGGGCUCUAAAGUAGUGCACUAGAUAGGGAAUAGGGCUCUGGUCUAAAGUAGUGCACUAGAUAGGGAAUAGGGCUCUGGUCUAUAGUAGUGCACUAUAUAGGGAAUAGGGCUCUGGUCUAUAGUAGUGCACUAUGUAGGGAAUAGGGCUCUGGUUUAUAGUAGUGCACUAUAUAGGGAAUAGGGCUCCAAAGUAGUGCACUAUAUAGGGAAUAUGGCUCUUGUUCAAAGUAGUGCACUAGAUAGGGAAUAGGGCUCUUGUUCAAAGUAGUGCAUUAUAUAGGGAAUAGGGCUCUUGUUCAAAGUAGUGCACUAGAUAGGGAAUGGGGCUCUUGUUCAAAGUAGUGCACUAGAUAGGGAAUAGGGCUCUUGUUCAAAGUAGUGCACUAUAUAGGGAAUAUGGCUCUUGUUCAAAGUAGUGCACUAUAUAGGGAAUAGGGCUCCAAAGUAGUGCACUAUAUAGGGAAUAGGACUCUUGUUCAAAGUAGUGCACUAUAUAGGGAAUAGGGCUCUUGUUCAAAGUAGUGCACUAUAUAGGGAAUGGGGCUCUUGUUCAAAGUAGUGCACUAGAUAGGGAAUAGGGCUCUUGUUCAAAGUAGUGCACUAUAUAGGGAAUAUGGCUCUUGUUCAAAGUAGUGCACUAUAUAGGGAAUAGGGCUCCAAAGUAGUGCACUAUAUAGGGAAUAGGACUCUUGUUCAAAGUAGUGCACUAUAUAGGGAAUAGGGCUCCAAAGUAGUGGACUAUAUAGGGAAUAGUGUGUCAUUUGGGACUCAUUUAAUGUAUUUCUUGAUGAAAGGCCUUGAGAACAGUCUCUCUUGAAUAUUUCACAAUUAAUAUUAACAGGCAAGUAUGGAGGGAAGGUAGACCAAUCAAUAAACAGCGACAUCACGCAGCCUUACACGCCCGUGGACAGGAAGGUAGACCAAUCAAUAAACCGCGUCAUCACGCAGCCUUACACGCCCGUGGACAGGAAGGUAGACCAAUCAAUAAACCGCGUCAUCACGCAGCCUUGCACGCCCAGUGGACAGGAAGGUAGACCAAUCAAUAAACGGUGACAUCACUCAGCCUUGCACGCCCGUGGACAGGAAGGUAGACCAAUCAAUAAACGGUGACAUCACUCAGCCUUGCACGCCCGUGGACAGGAAGGUAGACCAAUCAAUAAACCGCGUCAUCACGCAGCCUUGCACGUCUAUGGACAGAAAGGUUUUAAACGGACGGUGACAUCACUCAGCCUUGCACGUCUAUGGACAGAAAGUUUUAAACGGACGGUGACAUCACUCAGCCUUGCACGUCUAUGGACAGAAAGAUUUUAUUUUAUUUAUUAUAUUUUAUAACAGUAUAUUAUAUUCACGUUUUAUAUUGUCACACAGUCACUCCUCACUCACAGUUAUAGCACCAUGACUGCUUCCAAACUGCACCCUAUACCCUAUGUAGUACAGUCCUUUGAGUACGCCCCCUAUGGACCCUGUUCAAACUGCACCCUAUACCCUAUGUAGUACAGUACUUUGAGUACGCCCCCUAUGGACCCUGUUCAAACUGCACCCUAUUCCCUACGUAGUACAGUCCUUUGAGUACGCCCCCUAUGGACCCUGGUCAAACUGCACCCUAUUCCCUACGUAGUACAGUACUUUGAGUACGCCCCCUAUAGACCCUGGUCAAACUGCACCCUAUUCCCUACGUAGUACAGUACUUUGAGUACGCCCCCUAUAGACCCUGGUCAAACUGCACCCUAUUCCCUACGUAGUACAGUCCUUUGAGUACGCCCCCUAUGGACCCUGGUCAAACUGCACCCUAUUCCCUACGUAGUACAGUACUUUGAGUACGCCCCCUAUAGACCCUGGUCAAACUGCACCCUAUUCCCUAUGUAGUACAGUACUUUGAGUACGCCCCCUAUAGACCCUGGUCAAACUGCACCCUAUACCCUACGUAGUACAGUACUUUGAGUACGCCCCCUAUAGACCCUGGUAGUGCAUCAUAUAGGGAAUAGGGUUCCGUUUAGAACACAGCAUAGGGUUCCAUUUAGAACACAGCAUAGGGUUCCAUUUAGAACACAGCAUAGGGUUCCAUUUAGAACACAGCAUAGGGUUCCAUUUAGAACACGGCAUAGGGUUCCAUUUAGAACACGGCAUAGGGUUCCAUUUAGAACACGGCAUAGGGUUCCAUUUAGAACACAGCAUAGGGUUCCAUUUAGAACACGGAAUAGGGUUCCAUUUAGAACACGGCAUAGGGUUCCAUUUAGAACACAGCAUAGGGUUCCAUUUAGAACACAGCAUAGGGUUCCAUUUAGAACACAGCAUAGGGUUCCAUUUAGAACACAGCAUAGGGUUCCAUUUAGAACACAGCAUAGGGUUCCAUUUAGAACACAGCAUAGGGUUCCAUUUAGAACACAGCAUAGGGUUCCAUUUAGAACACGGCAUAGGGUUCCAUUUAGAACACAGCAUAGGGUUCCAUUUAGAACACAGCCCAUGUCUGAGAGACAUAGAACAGUAAUAACAUGUUAUAAAACAAGACACAGGCUUGAGAACAGUUAUAACAUGUUAAAUGUUUUAUAACAAGACAAUGGCUUGAGAACAGUUAUAACAUGGUAUAUGGUUUAUAAUAAGACAAAGGCUUGAGAACAGUUAUAACAUGUUAUAUGGUUUAUAACAAGACAAUGGCUUGAGAACAGUUAUAACAUGGUAUAUGUUUUAUAAUAAGACAAAGGCUUGAGAACAGUUAUAACAUGUUAUAUGGUUUAUAACAAGACACAGGCUUGAGAACAGUUAUAACAUGUCAUAUGUUAUAGAACAAGACACAGGCUUGAGAACAGUUAUAACAUGUUAUAUGGUUUAUAACAAGACAAUGGCUUGAGAACAGUUAUAACAUGGUUUAUAACAAGACACAGGCUUGAGAACAGUUAUAACAUGUUACAUGGUUUAUAACAAGACACAGGCUUGAGAACAGUUAUAACAUGUUACAUGGUUUAUAACAAGACACAGGCUUGAGAACAGUUAUAACAUGUUACAUGGUUUAUAACAAGACACAGGCUUGAGAACAGUUAUAACAUGUUACAUGGUUUAUAACAAGACACAGGCUUGAGAACAGUUAUAACAUGUUACAUGGUUUAUAACAAGACACAGGCUUGAGAACAGUUAUAACAUGUUACAUGGUUUAUAACAAGACACAGGCUUGAGAACAGUUAUAACAUGUUACAUGGUUUAUAACAAGACACAGGCUUGAAUACAGUUGUAACAUGUUAUGUUAUGUUAUAGAACAAGACACAGGCUUGAGAACAGUUAUAACAUGUUACAUGGUUUAUAACAAGACACAGGCUUGAGAACAGUUAUAACAUGUUACAUGGUUUAUAACAAGACACAGGCUUGAGAACAGUUAUAACAUGUUACAUGGUUUAUAACAAGACACAGGCUUGAGAACAGUUAUAACAUGUUACAUGGUUUAUAACAAGACACAGGCUUGAAUACAGUUGUAACAUGUUAUGUUAUGUUAUAGAACAAGACACAGGCUUGAGAACAGUUAUAACAUGUUAUAUGGUUUAUAACAAGACAAUGGCUUGAGAACAGUUAUAACAUGGUUUAUAACAAGACACAGGCUUGAGAACAGUUAUAACAUGUUACAUGGUUUAUAACAAGACACAGGCUUGAGAACAGUUAUAACAUGUUAUAUGGUUUAUAACAAGACACAGGCUUUAGCCUCCACGUGUUGCCUUCCCUUUGCUCCUCAUUGGUUUAUCACUAUAUCAAUUUAACCUGUAUGAAUAAACUACUUAUUAAAACAGG